GGCUGAGUGGCAGAGAGGCUAUGCAGCAGUUUGCAAAACUGUACCACGUCGGUUCAAAUCCGGCCUCAGCCU
rnacentral:tRNA from 1 species